UCAAAGUACAUAGUCACCAUAUACAACUUUGAGAUUCUUGCAAGCAUUCUCAAUAAAUCGAUAAUAGAAAAAUAACCAUAAUAAAAUUAAAGACCCCACCAACUGAGCAUUCACCAGUGUGCAAAAGGCAACAAACUGUGAAAAUACAAAAAAAAAUAAUAAAUAAGCAAUAAAUAUCGAGAACAUGAGAUAAAGAGUCCUGGAAAGUGAGUCCAUAGAUUGUGGGAACAUUUCACUGAUCGGACGAGUGAGAUUGAAUGCAAUUGUCCCCUCUGGUUCAAGAACCUGAUGGUGGAGGGAAAUAACUGUUCUUGAACCUGGAGGGUGUGGGUCCUGAAGCUCCUGUACCAGCUUCCUGAUGGCAGCAGCAAGAAGGGAGCGUGGCCUGGAUGGUGGGGGUCCCUGAUGAUGGAUGCUUCUUUCCUGAAACAAUGCCCCGUGUAGAUGUGCUUAAUGGUGGGGUGGGCUUUACCCAUGAUGAACUGGGCCAUACCUCUACUUACCGUUGGACUUUCUGUUCAAGGGCCUUGUAUUUCCACACUAGUCUGUGAUGCUGCCAGUCAAUAUUCUCUUCAGCACACAGCUAUAGAAGUUUGUCAAAGUUUUGCUAAUUAUCAAGGAAGUAGAGGGACUUUGUUAUAACACCUGUGUGCAGGGCCCAUGUCAGGUACUCUGAAAUGGUAACACUGAGAAAUUUAAAGUUGCUGACCCUCUCCACCUCUGAUCCUCUGAUGAGGACUGGCUCAUGGAAUUCCUGUUUCCUCCUCCUGAAAUCAAUAAUCCGUUCCUUUGUCUUGCUGAUAUUGAGUAAGAGGUUUUGAUUAUGCUGCCACUCAGCCAGAUUUUCAAUCUCCCUCCUAUAUGCUGUUUUGUCAGCACCUUUGAUUCGGCCUACGACAGUGGUGUCAUCAGCAGGCUUGAAUAUGGCUUUGGAGCUCUGCUUAGCCACACAAUCUUAAGUGUAAAGUGAGUAGAGUAAGGGCUGAGCACACAAUCUUGUGGUGCACCGAUGCCAACGGAGAUUGUGGAAAAGAUAUUGUUGCCAAUUUGAAUUAUCUGGGGUCUGCAAGUGAGGAAAUCUAGGGUCCAAUUGUACAAAAAGGUUUUGAAGCUUAUUGAUUAAUUUUGAGGGUAUAAUAGUAAUGAAUGCCAAGCUGUAGUUGAUAAAAAGCAUCCUGAUGUAUGCACCUUUGCUGUCCAGAUGUUCCAGGGUUGAGUGAAUAGCCAUUGAGAUGACAUCUGCUGUGUAUCCGUUGCUCCAGUAGGCAAAUUGGAGCAAAUCCAAGGCACUUCUCAGGCAGGAGUUGAUAUGUUUCAUCACUAACCUCUCAAAACACUUCAUCAUUGUGGAUGUCAGAGCAACUCGGCGAUAGUCAUUGAGACAGCUCUACUACAUUUUUCUUUGGCACCUACGUAUAUAAGUGAAGACUGCUUGAGUUCAAGAGUCAGAAAGUUAUGCUGAGCUCUUGUUGGGUCAGAUCUGGAAUAUUGCGUUCAAUUCUGGUUGCCCCAUUAUAGGAAGGAUGUGGAGGCUUUGGAAAGGGUGCAGAAGAGUUUGACCAGGAUGCUGCCUGGAUUGGAGGGCAUGUGCAUUAAGAGAGGUUGACCAAAUUUGGGUUGUUUUCUCCAGAUUGGAGGAGGUUGAGAGAUCUGAGAGAAGUUUAUAAAAUUAUGAGAGCCAUAGACAGUGCAGGAAGUAUCUUUCUCCCAGAGUUGAAAUAUAUAAUACCACAGGGCAAGCAUUUAAGAUGAGAGGGAAUAAAUUUAAGGAUGUGUGGUGCAAGCUUUUUUUUAAACAGAGUGUUGGGUGCCUGGAAUGUGCUGUCUGGGGUGGAGGUGAAGGAAAACAUGACAGCAGCAUUUAAGAGUGUCUUAGACACAUGUGCAGGAAAUGGUAGGACAUGGACAUUACGAAGGCAGACAGGAUUAGUUUAAUUGGGCGUUUAAUUACUAAUUUAAUUAGUUUGGCCAACAUUGUGGGUUGAAGUGCCUGUUCCUGUCCUGUACUCUUCUAUGUUGUUCAACAUGCAAACUAUACCCUCUUCAAUAUGCCCAUAGGUAAUCAGGAAUGAAGAAUAUCUUCUAUGUUCUUCAACGUGCGAACUAGACCCUCUUCAAUAUUCCCAUAGGUAAUCAGGAAUGAGGAAUAUCUUCUAUAUUCUUCAACGUGCAAACUAGACCCUCUUCAAUAUGCCCAUAGGUAAUCAGGAAUGAGGAAUAUCUAUGUUCUUCAACGUGCAAACUAGACCCUCUUCAAUAUGCCCAUAGGUAAUCAGGAAUGAGGAAUAUCUUCCAUGUUCUUCAACGUGCAAACUAGACCCUCUUCAAUAUGCCCAUAGGUAAUCAGGAAUGAGGAACAUCCAAAAGUUGAAAGAAGAACUUCAGCAAAGUUAAAGAACAACUUAUGAGGUGGAUGAAGGAACAGAUCAUAUGGACAAAAUGUCCUCUUCCUGCUCUGCUGAAGUCAUAGUCCUAACACUUUUUAAAUUAUACAUCUUUCAGAACCCUGAAACAGUAACAUUUAUUGCUCUUCCACAAUCUUCCUUGCUGAACCAUCAGCUGUGGAUGGUUUGCUGUGAGAAACAGGGUAGACUGGAAGUACAGAUUUCCGUCCCUAAUGGAUAUUAAUUUUCCAGAUGGAAUUUUCACUGCAAUUCAACAGCUUUGCAGUUAUUGUAAUUAAAGGGUAUUUUCCAUUCCCACCCACUCCACGUAAUGCUAAAUCAUGAACUGAAUUUAAAUUCCAGAGCAAAUGUGAUGGGAUUUGCACACAGAACUGUGUCCUGUGAUUACUAGUACAUAUGUUUCUUAAUCCAUUCUACCACCUGUUCUUAUAAUAAAUAAGGUGACCUAGUAAUAUUAAACAGGAAUCACAACCUGUGCCAUGUGCUAAUGAGGCCAGAAAUAGAAAGAUCAUACAGUUUUAACAUGUGGCUAAGGAGCUGGUAUAGGCAGAAGGAUGUCAGAUUUUUGAAUCAUAUGGCUCUCUUCCAAGGACGGUGGGACCUGUAUGGACAGUUUGCAUUUGAACUGGAGGGAACUAAUAUCCUUGUGGGAAAAUUUGCUAGUGCUGCACAGGAUGGUUUAAACCAGAGUUGCAGGGGGAUGGGAACCAGAAUGCCCGAACAGAUAGUGAAGAAGUUGUAGAGAUAGAUGUUGCUAAGACCUCAGACAAAGUCAGGAAUCGAAAGGUUGACCAUAGUGCGAGUAAUGUUCUGAGCCACAUAUAUUUCAAUGCAAGAAAUAUUGUAGGAAAGGCAGAUGAGCUCAGGGCAUAGAUCAACACAUGAUAUUAUGAUAUUGCAGCCAUUAGUGAGGGUUGGAUGCAGAAGGGGCAGGACUGGGAACUCAACAUUCCGGGGUUCCGUUCUUUUAUAUGUGACAGAGUGGGAAGGAUUAAAGGGGGAGGGGCUGGCAUUAGAAGUCAGGGAAAAUGUCCCACGGCAGUGCUCAGUCAGGACAGACUGGAGAACUCGUCUAGUGAGGUUUUAUGGGUGGGAAUGAAGAAUGAGAAAGAUAUGACCACAUUAACAGGGCUGUAAUAUGAACCACCCAAUAAUAUGCUGGAUUUAAAGGAAUAAAUUCACAGAGAGAUUGCAGACUGUGGCAAGAAACAUAAGGUUGUUAUGAUAGAUUAUUUUAUCUUUCUACAUAUUGACUGGGACACCCAUACUGUAAAACGUCUAGAUGCAACUGAGUUUGUCAAAUGUGUUCAGGGAAGUUUCCUUAAUCAGUAUAUACAAGUCCCAAUGAGAGAGUAUGCAAUUCUUGAUCUGUCAUUAGAGAAUGAAACAGGGCAGGAGACUGAAGUCGGUAGGGGAACACUUUGCAUCUAGUGAUUGUAAUGCCAUUAGUUUCACGGUAAUUAUGGAAAAGGACAGGCUGAUCCACGGGUUGAGAUCCUAAAUUGGAGAAAGGCCAGUUUUGAUUGUAUAAGGUAGGAUUUGGCAAAUGUGAACUGGGACUGUUUUUUCUGGCAAAGGUGUACUGGGUCAGUGGAAGACGUUCAAAAGUGAACUUUUGAGAGUAUAAAGCUUGUAUGUGCCUUUCAAAAUGAAAGGUAAAGAUAACAGGUUUAGGGAACCUUGGUUUUUUAAGAGAUAUUCAGGCCCUGGUUAAGAGAAAAAAAUGUAUAGGCAGUUAAGAAUAAACGAGGUACUUAUGGAGUACCUAUAAGAAAUUACUUAUAAGAAAUUCAAGAGAACACUUAAGAAAGAAAUCAGGAGGGCUAAAAGAAGGCAUGAAUUUGCCCUAGCAGACAAGGGGAAGGAGAAUCCUAAGGGAUUCUACAGAUAUGUUAAGAGCAAACGGAUCGCAAGGGACAAAAUUGGUCCUCAGGAGGAUCCAAAUGGUAGUCUAGCCAAAAGAGAUGGGGCAGAUCUUUAAUGGAUUCUUUGCAUCCGUAUUUACUCAGGAGAUGGACACAGAGCCUAUAGAAGUGAGGCAAAGCAGCAGUAAGGUCAUGGACUCAGUACAGACUAUAGAGGAGAUAUUUGGUAUCCAGAGACAAAUUAACAUAGAAACAUAGAAAAUAGGUGCAGGAGUAGGCCAUUCGGCCCUUCGAGCCUGCACCGCCAUUUAUUAUGAUCAUGGCUGAUCAUCCAACUCAGAACCCCGCCCCAGCCUUCCCUCCAUACCCCCUGACCCCUGUAGCCACAAGGGCCAUAUUAAGGUGGAUAAAUCCCCAGGGUCUGAGAAGGUGUUCGUUUGGACCCUGUGGGAGGCAAGUGCAGAAACCACAGGGGCCCUAGCAGAGAUAUUUAUAUUAGCCUUAGCGACAGGUGAGAUACCGAAGGAUUGGAGGAGAGCUAAUGUUGUUCUGCUGUUUAAGAAAGGCUCUAAAAAUAAACCAGGGAAUUAUAGGCCAGUGAGCCUGUCAUCAAUAAUGGGAAAGUUACUGAAGGGUAUUCUAAGGGAUCGGAUAUAUGUAUGUAUCUGGAUAAGCAUGGACUGAUUAAGGAUAGUCAGUGUGGCAGGUUGCAUGGUAUGUCACGUCAAGCCAAUCUCAGAGUUUUUUGAGGAAGUUACCAGGAAAGUGGAUGAAGGCAAGAGAGCGGAUGUCAUCUACAUGGACUUUAGCAAAGGCAUUUGACAAGGUCCUAUGUGGGAGGUUGAUCGGGAAGGUUCAGUCAUUGGGCAUUGAAGAUCAGAGAGCAAGUUGGAUUAGACAUUGGCUUUGUGGGAGAAGCCAGAGAUUGAUAAUAGAUGGUUGCCUCGCUGACUGGGGGCCUAUGAGUAUGGAGUGCCGCAGGGAUCAGUGCAGUGCCCAUUAUUGUUUAUCAUCCACAUCAGUAAUUUGGAUGAUAAUAUGGUUUAGUGGAUCAGCAAAUUUGCAGAUGACAUCAAGACUAGGGGUAUAGUGGAUAAUGAGGAAGACUAUCAGAACUUGCAGUUGUGACAAGAAUACACAUAGAUGUUAGCUGUCCUGUGUGAUAAGCAGUUGGUCUGCCACCUGUCUUCGGGAGAGAGAGAGAGAUAAGGAAGACAAUGGAGCAGCAUUUGGAGAUGUGUAAUGAAGGGACGGGAGAGAGAGCUGUCUAGAGCGGCUCCCCCUUUGAACCCUGAACUGUUUGAAGUGAUGGACAGGCGAUUUGGAGAUGUGUAAUGAAGGGACGGGAGAGAGAGCUGUCUAGAGCGGCUCCCCCUUUGAACCCUGAAUUGUUUGAAGUGAUGGACGGGCGAUACCCCAGCAGGGGGAUAAAAAGGGACAGGUUCGCUAAGGCAGGACACACACGACACCACGAGGUAACGAGACCCUGGAAGCGGUGCCCCCCCCCGCAAGUCGGCAGGAGUCGUUUGGAAGGCUGGCUGCGGAACCAAGCCUUAGACGCACAGGGUGGAAAGGUACGAUCAGCGGGAACCCGGUGUGUUUCCGCCCUUGCUUGGGUGCCAGGUUCACUGCAGAGGAUCGACCGCAUCUGGAGGAGGGGUCACAGUCGGUGACCUCAGGUGACAUCACAAAGGACUCGCCCGAAAAGCUGCUUGUGAGCAAUAUCGCAGGUCUGUGUGUGGAAGCCGUUUUGAAUGAUCAUUCGUUCUUGUUCUCUCUCUCCUUCCCCCAACAUUGUCCAUCGCCAUGGCAACGAUUACUGCGAACUGAACUAAAAUGGACUGAACUUUGUGUCACUUUGAAAUUGGUCAUUUACCCCUAGACAACGAUAGAGCUUGAUUGAUCCUGUUAUCUUAAUUCUGUGCACAUGUGUGUUUAUCAUUGCUGAACUGUUGCAUUUAUUAUCCUUUCGAUUACUGUGUUGCUUGUUUCUUUAAUAAAACUUUCUUACAUCUAGUAAUCCAGACUCCAACUGAGUGAUCCAUUUCUGCUGGUUUGGCAACCCAGUUACAGGGUACGUAACACAGUGAAUGUGGACAAGGUGGAAAAAUGGAAUCUAAUGCAGACAAGUGCGAGGUGUUGCACUUCAGCAGGACCAGGUAGCACAGGCCACUGAGGAGUGUGGUAGAACAAAGGGAUCUGGGAAUACAGGUCCAUCAGAGGAUUAUUAGAAUGGGGGAACGCGCUGUCAGCGUUAAGUGGCGUGUGCAAGCUUGAUUUCAAUGUUUAAGAGAAGUUUGGAUAGGCCCAUGGACAGUAGGGGUUCAUGGCCCAGGUGCCAGUCGAUGGGACUAGGCAGUAAAUGGUUUGGUAUGGACGAGAUGGGCUGAAGGGUCUGUUUCUGUUCGCUGACUAUUAUAUAAUGAUUCCAGGGACGUGCUUAAAAUUCCAGUUUAACCGGUUCUGGACGACAAACUGAAAAAGGAAACACUCCGGCAUCAACACGUCUGCAGCACCGGAUAUACUUGAUUGGACACAGCAAGGAAAGCAGAUUCCUUGCGGCACACGCUGAUAUUGCUUACUGCUUUCAGCCGGACGCUACCGAGACAGCUAAGUGGUCAUAUCUAGAUUCAAUCUGGGCUUUACCAAUAUGAAAAUUUAAAACAAUGACAGAUUUUUGUACCCGAAGGGGAACGUAGGAGCUCAUUUUUAGACAUUGUUUACCACAACCAUACAGGAAAAUGCACAGGGAGUUGUUAACACAGCUAUUCGCUGGGAAAUUAAACCACGUCCGGAAGUUUAUUAACGUUCCUGAUUCACGAAGGGAGGGGGAAGACAACGUUCCUUCCAAUCACGAGUAAUACAUAUAGGGUUCUCAGUAAUAUUAAAUGUAAUGUUAGUUGCCAAUAAUACAAUGACUUCUCUGUAAUGUUAACUGAUGAGGUAAUGUUUCUUUGUAGCUGAAAUAUUUGGGUUAUAACUAUAGACAACGGGGAACUAACCAAUGGAAGUCACGUUAUUCUAUCUGUAUGUGUGGGAACCCGAGUGAGUGCGCGGGAUUUUCGGCGUGGAGAGGCGAAGAGGAAGGACGUGCGGGAAGCGCUCUGGUAGACCACCGUCGUUGGGCCCAGUCCGAGGGUCGCGGAGUUCGGAGGAGAUCGAGUGGCGGAGAGAAGACCCUGUUCCUUGAGCUCCAAUGAUUGUGCAGGACUGUUUAACUUUGAUAAGCGUGGCGCCUUUUUCUUUUAUAUUUUGUUUCGCCACUGACCACAUAGUCACAGUAAGAUUUAUAAAGUGUAAUGUCUGAUUUUUGCAUUGUGGGUUUGUACAUUACACAGCAUCCACACAAAUUUGAUUACCCAGGGUGGCGGGGCUGAGAGCGCUUCCCCAAGGCGAACACGAGCCGAGCGAGUCGGAGGCUUACAUAUAAAAGAUUUAAUGACCUUGCUGUCAACUCUAUUAAUAUAAUUUGCACUUUCUCUGACUGCCUGACUCCACGUAGCACAGAGUCCAAACCCAACACGACUCCGCUCGUCGUCCUUCCGCAACCUCUGAUUUCAUCGCUUUACAUCACGUGCCGGGGUUUCCCGUAAAUCGCCAAACGGCCUCCCAAGGCUCUGAAUACUUCGGGAUUCCCAGCGACACAAACCCCUGUCUCCGGAUCAGUAGCCGGAUUUUCCAUGACAUAACCAUUGCAAAUUCCUUAAAGUACUAUAUAAAAAUUUAUAAAUACAUCCCCGAAACAGAACUAAACUAUUUAAUAGCAAGCACAGCUGCACCGAAAACUAAUGAUUGCAGUAAAAUUUCAACUGGAAUAACUUUGAUGUAUGACUGCUUUAGUACAGCCAAAUAAAUUAUAUCACAAAAUAAAUGUCUGAAGCAAUUUAAUAAACGCAAAAGUUAAAUGUUCCGAAUGCUGGAAAUUUAGCAAAAUAGUAAAACACAUCAGAAACCCCGAAGAGGCAAGGAAUAGCCUCCCUGAGCAAAGAGAAGGAUAUUAGAGGUGAACAUAUUAAACUGAAAAUGCUGCCAACACGCAGGUCUGGCAGUAUGUGUAAAAAGAGGUGCAGACCUAAUGGUUUAGGGCGGUAGAAAAAGACUCUGACUUGAACCCUUAAACCAGAUGCUGCAUAGCCUACUGAGUAUUUCCAGUGUUUUCUAUUUUUAUUUUUAUAUUCCAAAAUCUGCAGUUUUAAAUCUUCAUUUAGAGCUGCGGUUUCAAGAUGAACUUUUUUACUCCGGAGGGUCUUAGAGAAAUGAGGUCUAAUGGAAAAAGUAAAUAAAUUCCGUGAUAUUAUGUAAAUUGGAAGCAGAUCAGUGAUAAAAUUAAUAAUAAUGCAAAGCAAAAUGGGGAAAUUGUAGAAAAUAUGUCCAGAAGAGGAAUAAAUGAUGAACAGAGUAGCUCAAUUAAGGGGAAGAUCUGGUAGGGACAAGUACGAGCGGUGAUUGAUAAGUUCGUGGCCUAAGGCAGAAGGAGUCAAUUUUAGAAAACCUAGCACAUUUCUUUUUCAACAUAGUCCCCUGCUACAUGUACACACUUAGUCCAGCGGCCGUGGAGCAAACGGAUCCCUUCUUUGUAGAAGUGGUCCACAGCAGGAGUGAUUGGUAAGUUCGUGGCCCAAGGUAGAAGGAGAUGAGUUAUACAGCUCUUGCAACAUGCGCAUGCUGUUCAACUCAGUGAAAAUGCGGAACGUUUGAAGUUUUUCCUCAUCUCCGUCUACCUUAGGCCACGAACUUAUCAAUCACCCCUGUAUAAGGUGCACAAUUUCAAAUAUAAAUAUGAAUAAAAGAAACACAAAUUGCAGUUGGCACUGGUUAUCUGCUGCACCAUUCAAUAAGAUCAUCACCAAUCCUUUAUUUCAGCAUCACUUUCCUGCACUGACCCCUAAUUCCUAGAUAUGACUUCCCAGUGACGAUAUUUCUCCUCACCUCAUUCCUGAAAUGUCAACUUUAUUUGCCCCUGGUUCUCGAGAUCCCAGUUAACAGAAACAACCCUGUCAAGCUUCAGAGGCCUUAAAAAAAUAUCUUUCAGAGAAAUCACCUCUAUUUCUUCUAAACACUAAGAAAUAUAGGUUUAUUCUGCUUACUCUCUCUUCAUUGGAUAAUUUCCUUUUGAGAAAUCGAUUUUCUUUCUACUUUCUCUAUCUAGAUGUGUGAUGAAGGGACGGGAGAGAGAGCUGUCUAGAGCGGCUCCCCCUUUGAACCCUGAACUGUUUGAAGUGAUGGACGGGCGAUACCCCAGCAGGGGGAUAAAAAGGGACAGGUUCGCUAAGGCAGGACACACACGACACCACGAGGUAACGAGACCCUGGAAGCGGUGCCCCCCCCGCAAGUCGGCGGGAGUCAUUUGGAAGGCUGGUUGCGGAACCAAGCCUUAGACGCACAGGGUGGAAAGGUACGAUCAGCGGGAACCCGGUGUGUGUCCGCCCUUGCUUGGGUGCCAGGUUCACUGCAGAGGAUCGACCGCAUCUGGGGGAGGGGUCACAGUCGGUGACCUCAGGUGACAUCACAAAGGACUCGAACGAAAAGCUGCUUGUGAGCAAUAUCGCAGGUCAUUUAUAAAAAUCACGAAAAGAAGGGGUCCCAGAACAGAUCCCUGAGGCACACCACUCGUCAGCAGUCUCCAUGCAGAAUAUGACCCGUCUACAACCACUCUUUGCCUUCUAUGGGUAGGUGAUGAAAACUGCACACAAUAUUCCAAAUUAUUUGGACAAGUCAGUGAGCACUGUGAGGGUCAUGUUUUUUGACUUCUCCAGUGCGUUCAACACCAUCCGCUCUGCUCUGCUGGGGGAGAAGCUGACAGUGCUGGUAUCAUGGUGUCAUGGAUUCUUGAUUACUGGACUGGCAGACCACAGUACAUGUGCUUGCAACACUGUGUGUCCGACAGAGUGAUCAGCAGCACUGGGGCUCCACAGGGGACUGUCUUGUCUCCCUUUCUCUUCACCAUUUACACCUCGGACGUCAACUUCUGCGCAGAGUCUUGUCAUCUACAGAAGUUUUCGGAUGACUCUGCCAUAGUUGGAUGCAUCAGCAAGGGAGAUGAGGUUGAGUACAGGGCUACGGUAGGAAACUUUGUCACAUGGUGUGAGCAGAAUUAUCUGCAGCUUAAUGUGAAAAAGACUAAGGAGCUGGUGGUAGACCUGAGGAGAGCUAAGGUACUGGUGACCCCUGUUUCCAUCCAAGGGGUCAGUGUGGACAUGGUGGAGGAUUACAAAUACCUGGGGAUACGAAUUGACAAUAAACUGGACUAAUCAAAGAACACUGAGGUUGUCUACAAGAAGGGUCAGAGCUGUCUCUAUUUCCUGAGGAGACUGAGGUCCUUUAACAUCUGCCGGACAAUGCUGAGGAUGUUCUUCGAGUCUGUGGUGGCCAGUGCUAUCAUGUUUGCUGUUGUGUGCUGGGGCAGCAGGCUGAGGGUCGCAGACACCAACAGAAUCAACGAACUCAUUCGUAAGGCCAGUGAUGUUUUGGCGAUGGAACUGGACUCUCUCACGGUGGUGUCUGAAAAGAGGAUGCUGUCUAAGUUGCAUGCCAUCUUGGUCAAUGUCUCCCAUCCACUACAUAAUGUACUUGGUGGGCACAGGAGUACAUUCAGCCAGAGACUCAUUCCACCGAGAUGCAACACAGAGCGUCAUAGGAAGUCAUUCCUGCCUGUGGCCAUCAAACUUUAAAACUCCUCCCUUGGAGGGUCAGACACCCCGAGCCAAUAGGCUGGUCCUGGACUUAUUUCAUAACUUACUGGCAUAAUUUACAUAUUACUAUUUAACUAUUUAUGGUUCUAUUACUAUUUAUUAUUUACGGUGCAACUGUAAUGAAAACCAAUUUACCCCGGGAUCAAUAAAG